UCCGCGGCCGCCCGAGCGGAGCGGCGGAUGACCUUGAGGCGCCGGCCGGCAGCAGAGAGGGAGGGAGCCCGGUGCAGAAGCCCCUCCCGAGCCCCACCGGGAGCGGAGCUGCCGCCCGGCGCUGUCGGGAAAAGCUCCUACUCUCAGCCGCGCCGAGGGGUCGGUCGUCAGGCUGGCUUCGGUUCCAGCUGGACAGCUGAUGGAGAGCCAUCAGGUCCAGUGUGGCAAUGCUGAAGCCCAGGAGCAGCGCUGGAAGCAUCUGUCCUGUGCUCUCUGGCAAGGAACAACAGCUACAGGUGGAGCUGGGAUGCAGCCACCACCAGGGUGUGAGAGGAAGUGACAUGGAUAUAUGGCCCAGAUCCCCAUACUGCACUGGACAGAGCUGACAGACGUGGGAGAAGCUCCUUUCCCUCAGUAAUUGUAAUCUUGCAGUGACAUAGUGCCAGAGACACAACUGGAGACAUUGAAAUAGAUACUGAGCAUGGGAAGAAAACUUGUGACUGGUAGUCAUUGAUGCCAAAAGAGACUUAUCUGUCUCCCUGCUGCUGCCCUCACAACCCAAAACCUUUCUUCCUACAAACCCAAAGCAACAGCUGCAGUGUGGGAUAGGGACCUAUUUCUUGCUCUGCAUGUGGUUCCUGUGAGUCCAUCCAGUAUCCAAGCUCUUCCCAAGUAAGCUUCCUUGCAUGAGAUUGUUCCCCUCCUGCUCAGAUGAACUGGAAGAAUGGGCAUCCUGCUGAGACAGAAAGUCAUCUCGAGCAAUAAAAGCAAAAAAUGAAACUGAUUUUAAAGUGUCAGCUGUUUUCAGAGCUAUCUAGUUUGU